rnacentral:rRNA from 1 species
GGGCCCGCACAAGCGGUGGAGCAUGUGGUUUAAUUCGAUGAUACGCGAGGAACCUUACCAGGGCUUAAAUGUAGUGGGACAGGUCUAGAGAUAGACCCUUCUUCGGACUCAUUACAAGGUGCUGCAUGGUUGUCGUCAGCUCGUGCCGUGAGUGUCAGGUUAAGUCCUAUAACGAGCGCAACCCCUAUCGUUAGUUGCCAGCGGGUCAUGCCGGGAACUCUAGCGAAACUGCCGGUGCAAACCGUGAGGAAGGUGGGGGAUGACGUCAAAUCAUCACGGCCCUUACGUCCUGGGCUACACACGUGCUACAAUGGCCGGUACAGAGAGCAGCCCACUACGCGAGUAG